AGAGUUUGAUCAUGGCUCAGAACGUACGCUGGCGGCACGCCUAACACAUGCAAGUCGAACGAAGUAGCAAUACUUAGUGGCAGACGGGUGAGUAACAUGUAGGUAUCUACCCUUUGGCCUGGAAUAACACGAGGAAACUUGUGCUAAUACCGGAUAAGUCUUUACGGAGAAAGCUUUAUGCACCAUUGGAUGAGCCUGCACUUGAUUAGUUUGUUGGUGGGGUAAUGGCCUACCAAGACUUUGAUCAAUAGCUGAUUUGAGAGGAUGAUCAGCCACAUUGGGACUGAGACACGGCCCAAACUCCUACGGGAGGCAGCAGUGGGGAAUCUUGCACAAUGGAGGAAACUCUGAUGCAGCGAUGCCGCGUGAGUGAAGAAGGCCUUUGGGUUGUAAAGCUCUCUCGUCGGGGAAGAAAAUGACUGUACCCGAAUAAGAAGGUCCGGCUAACUUCGUGCCAGCAGCCGCGGUAAUACGAAGGGACCUAGCGUAGUUCGGAAUUACUGGGCUUAAAGAGUUCGUAGGUGGUUGAAAAAGUUGGUGGUGAAAUCCCAGAGCUUAACUCUGGAACUGCCAUCAAAACUUUUCAGCUAGAGUUUGAUAGAGGAAAGCAGAAUUUCUAGUGUAGAGGUGAAAUUCGUAGAUAUUAGAAAGAAUACCAAUUGCGAAGGCAGCUUUCUGGAUCAUUACUGACACUGANGAACGAAAGCAUGGGUAGCGAAGAGGAUUAGAUACCCUCGUAGUCCAUGCCGUAAACGAUGUGUGUUAGACGUUGGGAAUUUAUUCUCAGUGUC
rnacentral:rRNA from 1 species